rnacentral:rRNA from 1 species
GACGACGCUGGCGGCGUGCCUAAUACAUGCAAGUAGAACGAGUUGCGAACGGGUGAGUAACGCGUGGUAACCUGCCUGGUAGCGGGGGAUAACUACUGGAAACGGUAGCUAAUACCGCAUACCAUCGGAUGUGCCCAGAUGGGAUUAGCUUGUUGGUGGGGUAACGGCUCACCAAGGCGACGAUCCCUAGCUGGUCUGAGAGGAUGACCAGCCACACUGGAACUGAGACACGGUCCAGACUCCUACGGGAGGCAGCAGUGGGGAAUAUUGCACAAUGGGCGCAAGCCUGAUGCAGCCAUGCCGCGUGUAUGAAGAAGGCCUUCGGGUUGUAAAGUACUUUCAGCGGGGAGGCGUUACCCGCAGAAGAAGCACCGGCUAACUCCGUGCCAGCAGCCGCGGUAAUUC